AUUCCGGAACGGGAAGAAGGAGCUGUCUCUCUCUUCUGAGGGGUAGGCAGGUGCUUCCGAAUCGCGGAAUGUAGGUGCUCGUAAGCUGGAGACCCACGGAAAGAACCUAGAAGCUCCGAGCGGUUGCAGACAGCACUGCAUUGAGCCAACGACUCCUGCUCUACUGAUGGUGAUUCCACAGCUUUGUGAGGAAUAAGUUAAGAUGAAUUGCAGUUUCCCCUGGACUUCUUUCUCUCUCCUGCCGCCUUGUGAAGAAGGUGCCUGCUUCCCCUUCCACCACGAUUCUAAGUUUCCUGAAGUCUCCCCAGCCAUGCUGAACUGAUAAGGUCCAUCUUGGCAAAUGGUCUGUGUGCACAAGAAAGAAUGUGAAUUCUGCAGUUGUUGGAAUGUUAUCUUAUCUGGAAGAAGAGGAAUAGGAAAGAAAAGGAGUCAGGAAUGGAUCUUACUCAGAAGGCUGACUAGACACAGCCAGGUGGAAGAGCUCCCACUGCGGGACCAAGAUGACUGGAAUGCCCCUAACAGAUCUUCAGAGGGAAGAAACCAAGAGUGGACAGAGAGAAGACACAGAAGCUGGGCUGAAGGUAGUGAAAGCUGGGAAUGUGGCACAGGACUACUGCACACCAGGUUUUGUUCCUGGCCCACAAUGGCUCUGGGGGAUCAGGUUGAAGGAAAAUUACCCUGGAUGGAAGAUCAGAGGUAUAGAAAGAAAUGGAGAGCAAAGAAAGUGGACUGUGCUGAAUGAGAACUUGUGGUAAUUAUACGUAUUUAUUGUGAGAAGAAUUUUUGCCUGAGACACCAUCAUCAGUCAGACCAUGAGUGUGAAAAACUGGAAAUCCAAAAGUCUCCUAUGGCUGCCUCUCAGAAAAUCGUUAAAGACAUUAUUGAUUCCAAGGCAGAAGAAACAGAUUGAAGCUCAAGGAACAACCCCUUUUUGGGACAUUGUCUUUUUUAUUUACAGAGGGACAAGGAGAUGACACCAUUUCAGUUGGCUCUUAGAAGAUACAUGCAUCAUUGUUGUAUUAAGGAUGAGGUCUUCUUAUGUUGUCCAGGCUGGUCUCAAACUCCUUGGUUCAAGUGAUCCACCUACCUUGACCUCCCAAAGUUCUGCGAUUACAGGCAUGGAGAACACAGAUUUUGAAAAUGGAAACCUGACAUUUACUAUGUAACUUUUGGCCAUUAAACCCUGUAAGGCUCAGUUUCUGCAUCUGAAAAGUGUUAUAAUAGUCCCUACCUCAUGAGGUUGUUGUUAUAAUUAAGUGAAAUAAUCCAUGUGAAGUCCUUAGUGUAGUGAUGAUACAUAAUAAGCAUUAAAUAUAGUCAUUAUUGUUAAUUUAUUGGGCAAGAUUUAUACAGCAAUAUUAUAUGAUAAGGUUAUAGCAGGCAAUCCUUUAGUCUCUAUAUCUUUAAGGGGGAUAUUGUUAGUGAUUUAACAUUAAGCAUGACACUUACGAGAGGUAGAUUUACCUUGAAUGAAGCUCCAGAUUCAGUCUCCCACUUAUGCCUGUCCCUUCCAAAGCUCUGAAUAAUGUGUUUAUAUGAUAAUAUACUUUUGUAAAAUUUGCAAAAGUAAGGCAUUUAAACAUAAUUGGCUAAGAUAACCACUGUUUCUUUCCAUGCUGGCUUCCCCACCAUCAUAUUUCCACUGCUGCCAGUUGGCAUUGGAGUUACUAUGGUUUAACAGUUAUUUAUUGCUAUGUAAAAAAAAAUCUGCCAAACUUAAAACAACAAUCAUUUAUUAGUUCAUAAUUCUGUGGGUGGGCAAUUUUGGCUGGCUUCUGAUGGAUGGUUCUACUGUUGGACUCUCUUGGGCUCAUUCAUGUGGCUGCAGUCAGAUAGUGGGAUGCCUGGGGGGUUGUAGAGUUCCUGAUGGCUUCACUUACUUGUUUGGGGUCACGGGGAACUGAGCUUCAUGUCUCUAGCAUCUAGCAGACUAUCAUGGAUUCUUCACAUGGAAACUAUAUUUCUUUUGCCAAUACCACACUGUCUUGAUUUGCUAUAAUUUUGAGUCCUUCAACUUUUCAUAGUCGUUUUGGCAAUUCUAGUUCUUUUGCUUUCCAUACAAAUUUUGGAAUAAUCUUGUCAAUAUCUGUCAAAAAACCUUGCUGGAAUAUCUACUGGGAUAGUGCUGUAUCUAUAUAUCAAAUUAGGAAGAAUUGAUAUCUUAACAAUUCAGUCUUUGAGUUUAUAAUGUAGUAUAUUUUUCUACUUAUUUAAAUCUUUUUUCGUUUCUUUUAUUGGUGAUUUGUAGCAUUUGGCAUAUAGUACCUGUUCAUAUAUUAUUAGAUUAAUUCCAAAGUAUUUCAAUUUUUUGUGAUAUGGUAAUUUAUAUUUUUAUUAAUUUGAAGAUUCAAAUGUUCAUUGCUAAUAUAUAGAAAUAUGAUUGACUUUUACAUGUAUUCACUUUUGUAUGGCUUGGCUGUGUCCUCACCCAAAUCUCAUCUUGAAUUCCCAUGUGCUGGGGGAGAGACUGCAUGGGAGGUAAUUGAAUCAUGCGGGCAAGUCUUUCCUGUGCUGUUCUUGUGAUAGUGAGUGAGUCUCACGAGAUCUGAUGGUUUUACAAAGAGGAGUUCCCGGGCAUAAGCUCUCUUUCUGCCUGCUGCCAUCCGCACAACAUAUGACUUGCUCCUCCUUGCCUUCCACCAUGAUUGUGAGGCUUCCCCAGCCAUGUGGAACUGUAAGUCCAAUAAACCUCUUUCUUUUGUAAA